rnacentral:rRNA from 1 species
GAUGAACGCUGGCGGCGUGCUUAACACAUGCAAGUCGAACGGUGAAGCCAAGCUUGCUUGGUGGAUCAGUGGCGAACGGGUGAGUAACACGUGAGCAACCUGCCCUGGACCCUGGGAUAAGCGCUGGAAACGGCGUCUAAUACUGGAUAUGAGACGUGAUCGCAUGGUCAACGUUUGGAAAGAUUUUUCGGUCUGGGAUGGGCUCGCGGCCUAUCAGCUUGUUGGUGAGGUAAUGGCUCACCAAGGCGUCGACGGGUAGCCGGCCUGAGAGGGUGACCGGCCACACUGGGACUGAGACACGGCCCAGACUCCUACGGGAGGCAGCAGUGGGGAAUAUUGCACAAUGGGCGGAAGCCUGAUGCAGCAACGCCGCGUGAGGGAUGACGGCCUUCGGGUUGUAAACCUCUUUUAGCAGGGAAGAAGCGAAAGUGACGGUACCUGCAGAAAAAGCGCCGGCUAACUACGUGCCAGCAGCCGCGGUAAUACGUAGGGCGCAAGCGUUAUCCGGAAUUAUUGGGCGUAAAGAGCUCGUAGGCGGUUUGUCGCGUCUGCUGUGAAAUCCCGAGGCUCAACCUCGGGCCUGCAGUGGGUACGGGCAGACUAGAGUGCGGUAGGGGAGAUUGGAAUUCCUGGUGUAGCGGUGGAAUGCGCAGAUAUCAGGAGGAACACCGAUGGCGAAGGCAGAUCUCUGGGCCGUAACUGACGCUGAGGAGCGAAAGGGUGGGGAGCAAACAGGCUUAGAUACCCUGGUAGUCCACCCCGUAAACGUUGGGAACUAGUUGUGGGGACCAUUCCACGGUUUCCGUGACGCAGCUAACGCAUUAAGUUCCCCGCCUGGGGAGUACGGCCGCAAGGCUAAAACUCAAAGGAAUUGACGGGGACCCGCACAAGCGGCGGAGCAUGCGGAUUAAUUCGAUGCAACGCGAAGAACCUUACCAAGGCUUGACGUACACCAGAACGGGCCAGAAAUGGUCAACUCUUUGGACACUGGUGAACAGGUGGUGCAUGGUUGUCGUCAGCUCGUGUCGUGAGAUGUUGGGUUAAGUCCCGCAACGAGCGCAACCCUCGUUCUAUGUUGCCAGCACGUAAUGGUGGGAACU